UACGAAGGGGGCUAGCGUUGCUCGGAAUCACUGGGCGUAAAGGGUGCGUAGGCGGGUCUUUAAGUCAGGGGUGAAAUCCUGGAGCUCAACUCCAGAACUGCCUUUGAUACUGAAGAUCUUGAGUUCGGGAGAGGUGAGUGGAACUGCGAGUGUAGAGGUGAAAUUCGUAGAUAUUCGCAGGAACACCAGUGGCGAAGGCGGCUCACUGGACCACAACUGACGCUGAGGUGCGAAAGCGUGGGGAGCAAACAGG
rnacentral:rRNA from 1 species